GGGUUUAUUUUCUCACAUACGGAGGAAAGAACCUAACAAGGAUUCCCCUAGUACCUGCGAGUGAAGCGGGAAAAGCUCAAAUUUAAAAUCUAAUGGUCUUUGGCCAUUCGAGUUGUAAUUUAGAGAAGCGUCUUCCGCGCCAGACCAUGUACAAGUCUCCUGGAACGGAGCGUCAUAGAGGGUGAGAAUCCCGUCUUUGACAUGGACCCUCGGUGCUUCUGUGAUGCGCUCUCAAAGAGUCGAGUUGUUUGGGAAUGCAGCUCAAAAUGGGUGGUGAACUCCAUCUAAGGCUAAAUAUUGGCGAGAGACCGAUAGCGAACAAGUACCGUGAGGGAAAGAUGAAAAGCACUUUGGAAAGAGAGUGAAACAGUACGUGAAAUUGUUGAAAGGGAAACACUUGAAGUCAGUCGCGUCGAUCGAGACUCAGCCUUGCCUCGGCUUGGCGUACUUCUCGACUUGACGGGCCAGCAUCAAUUUCGUCCCUCGGAUAAUGGCAAGUGAAAGGUGGCACCUUUUUAAGGUGUGUUAUAGUCUCUUGUCGCAUGCGAGGGGUGGGAUUGAGGAACUCAGCACGCACCUCACGGUGUCGGGGCUUCGGCCCACGUUACGUGCUCAGGAUGCCGGCGUAAUGGCUUUAAAUGACCCGUCUUGAAACACGGACCAAGGAGUCUAACAUGCCUGCGAGUGUUCGGGUGGAAAACCCGUGUGCGUAAUGAAAGUAAAAGUUGGGACCUCUGUCGUGGAGGGCACCGACGCCCGGACCAGACCUUCUGUGACGGAUCUGCGGUAGAGCAUGCAUGUUGGGACCCGAAAGAUGGUGAACUAUGCCUGAAUAGGGUGAAGCCAGAGGAAACUCUGGUGGAGGCUCGUAGCGAUUCUGACGUGCAAAUCGAUCGUCAAAUUUGGGUAUAGGGGCGAAAGAUAAUCGAACAUCUAGAGCUGCCGCGAAGAUU
rnacentral:rRNA from 1 species